rnacentral:rRNA from 1 species
GAUUAACGCUGGCGGCGUGCCUAAUACAUGCAAGUCGAACGAGUGGCGCACGGGUGAGUAAUGCCUGGGAAUCUGCCUGGUAGUGGGGGAUAACGUCCGGAAACGGGCGCUAAUACCGCAUACUAUCAGAUGAGCCUAGGUCGGAUUAGCUAGUUGGUGGGGUAAAGGCCUACCAAGGCGACGAUCCGUAACUGGUCUGAGAGGAUGAUCAGUCACACUGGAACUGAGACCCUGUCCAGACUCCUACGUGAGGCAGCAGUGUGGAAUAUUGGACAAUGGGCGAAAGCCUGAUCCAGCCAUGGCGCGUGUGUGAAGAAGGUCUGCGGAUUGUAAAGCACUUUAAGUUGGGAGGCGUUACCAACAGAAUAAGCACCGGCUAACUUCGUGCCAGCAGCCGCGGUAAUAC